rnacentral:rRNA from 1 species
AUUGAACGCUGGCGGCAUGGCUAAAACAUGCAAGUCGAGCGCGAAAGAGGGGCAAUCCUCAAGUAGAGCGGCGAAAGGGUGAGUAAUACGUUCCUACGUACCUCGAGGUCAGGGAUAGCCAGGGGAAACUCUGGGUAAUACCUGAUGUGGUCGAGAGAUCAAAGGCUUGCCGCCUUGAGAGCGGGGAACGUCCUAUCAGCUAGUUGGUGAGGUAACGGCUCACCAAGGCUUUGACGGGUAGCGGGUGUGAGAGCAUGGCCCGCCACAUCGGAACUGAGACACUGUCCGGACUCCUACGGGAGGUUGCAGUAACGAAUCUUCCGCAAUGCGCGCAAGCGUGACGGAGCAAUGCCGCGUGCAGGAUGAAGCCCUUCGGGGUGUAAACUGCUGUCAGGGUUUAGAAACACAAUGAUCAAACCCAAAGGAAGAGACGACUAACUCUGUGCCAGCAGUCGCGGUAAUACAGAGGUCUCGAGCGUUAGUCGG